rnacentral:rRNA from 1 species
GAUGAACGCUGGCGGCGUGCCUAAUACAUGCAAGUCGAGCGAACAGACGAGGAGCUUGCUCCUCUGACGUUAGCGGCGGACGGGUGAGUAACACGUGGAUAACCUACCUAUAAGACUGGGAUAACUUCGGGAAACCGGAGCUAAUACCGGAUAAUAUAUUGAACCGCAUGGUUCAAUAGUGAAAGACGGUUUUGCUGUCACUUAUAGAUGGAUCCGCGCCGCAUUAGCUAGUUGGUAAGGUAACGGCUUACCAAGGCAACGAUGCGUAGCCGACCUGAGAGGGGGAUCGGCCACACUGGAACUGAGACACGGUCCAGACUCCUACGGGAGGCAGCAGUAGGGAAUCUUCCGCAAUGGGCGAAAGCCUGACGGAGCAACGCCGCGUGAGUGAUGAAGGUCUUCGGAUCGUAAAACUCUGUUAUUAGGGAAGAACAAAUGUGUAAGUAACUAUGCACGUCUUGACGGUACCUAAUCAGAAAGCCACGGCUAACUACGG